rnacentral:piRNA from 1 species
UGGAGUAGGGUCUGCUAUAGACUUCUCUGGU